rnacentral:rRNA from 1 species
UACAGAGGUCUCAAGCGUUGUUCGGAUUCAUUGGGCGUAAAGGGUGCGUAGGCGGCGCGGUAAGUCGGGUGUGAAAUCUCGGAGCUUAACUCCGAAACUGCAUUCGAUACUGCUGUGCUUGAGGACUGGAGAGGAGACUGGAAUUUACGGUGUAGCGGUGAAAUGCGUAGAUAUCAGGAGGAACACCGGUGGCGAAGGCGGGUCUCUGGGCCGAUACUGACGCUGAGGAGCGAAAGCAUGGGUAGCGAACAGG